UUUAUUUGAUUUCCUUCGGGACUGAUUAUUUUGUGACUGAGUGGCGGACGGGUGAGUAACGCGUGGGUAACCUGCCUUGUACAGGGGGAUAACAGUUGGAAACGGCUGCUAAUACCGCAUAAGCGCACAGCAUCGCAUGAUGCAGUGUGAAAAAACUCCGGUGGUAUAAGAUGGACCCGCGUUGUAUUAGCUAGUUGGUGAGGUAACGGCUCACCAAGGCAACGAUACAUAGGGGGACUGAGAGGUUAACCCCCCACACUGGUACUGAGACACGGCCCAAACUCC
rnacentral:rRNA from 1 species